ensembl:snoRNA small Cajal body-specific RNA 6
GGUCGAUGAUGAGUAGUAAAAGGGCUGAGUCCCCAGGUCCCCUCCCAGAUCCUCACCAUCCCCGGCAGCCUCGCUCCCAUCAGGCUCCAGUAGUGCCAUGAUGGGCACAAGGACAGCUGACACUCGGUGAUGUCUCCAGUCUGUGUUCCCUGGUGAGCCCAGGGAGGACGUGAGGUUGGCAUCCAACAGCCAGUCAGGAAGGGGUGUGAUUGCUGGGAGUGCUGGGACCUGUGGUUAUGAUCUGGCUUUCAAGCUGAGACC